AUGAGCUGCACCGUGUUCAUGGCGCCCGGGCGCUGCUGCGGGGGGGCCCAGGCCGCCGGGCCCUCCGGCUCCCCCCCGGGGUCCCUGCCCCGCGCCAGGGUCCCCGCUGGCUCCCGGUGCCGGUGGCGGCUCCGCUCCCCGUCCGGCUCCCGGCGCGGCUCCUCUGUGCUCCUGCCCCAGCUCCAGCGUGGGGGGCAGCCGCAGCCGCAGCCACGCAGGGGGCUGGUGCCCGGCUCCGCAUGGCCGCAGCUCGGUGUCCUGGGGGGGCCCUGCAGCCAGAAGGCACAGAGCUGCUGGUGCUGCCACAUGCCAAGCGUCCUGCCCGGCCGCAGCCGGCUCUGCGCCGCGACGCCUACCUGGUUGUCCGUGGGGGGCUCGCAGUGCGGGAUCCUGCCCGCCCUGAUCACGGUGGCGGCAGCUCCGUGGCAGAUCCGCGACUCGGGGCUCAGCGUGGCGCAGGCGGCAGCGGUGCGCGUGGCCCAGCCGUGCGUGGGGCCGCCCGCGGGGCCGCAGGUGGGCCGAGCGCCCGGUGCAUCCCGCUGCCCGCCGGCACUGCCGCGGCACCGCUCCGGGGCGCCGGGCGGCUCGCCCUGCCUGCACAGCCACAGGCCGGGGCCGUGUGGCACCGGGUGCCCGGGCAGCCCCCAGCCGUGCCCGCACUCCCGGCACGGCGCAGCUCCGUCGUCCCGCUCCCAGGGGCAGGCGCUGCUCAGCACCUCCACGGUGGCGCAGCAGCCAUGGAAGGCGUGCCAGGUGGGCCCGCGGCGCAGCGCCUCGCCGCCCUGCCCGCGGCACCCGCUGCCGUGGCUCCCCCAGGGCGGGCCGUGGCGCGGCUCGGGCCGGGCGCUGUGGCGGGGUGCUCCCCCGCCGCCCCCCUCCGGCCCGGCCGCCAGCGCCUGGCCCGGGCUCUCGCCGUGGCCCUGGAAGCGCGCCUUGGCCCGCUGGAAGCGGCGGUUGUGGCGGCGCAGCCUCUCCAGGGAGGCGGUGGGGGCCACGGGGCCUGGCCGGUUGUUCUCCUCGGGGACGUCCUCGCGCACCGGGGGGACCUCGGCGGCCGCUGCCGGGACCUGCUGGCUCAGGAACUCCUCCAGCAUCUGGGCGGCCAGGCUGGUGGUGAUGAAGGAGCGGUCGAUGGCGGGGCCCGGCCCUGACGGCCCCGGGCUGAGCUUGCAGGAGGCCGCCAGCAUGGUGCCCAGCGCCUCCUCCGUGCCCGGCUUCAGGCUGGCGCUGCCGGCAGGCGAGGAGGCGUCAGCAGAGCCCCCGGAGCCCCCCAGGCUCUCGGCAGAGCGUGUGGAUGCGCUGGGGCUGCCGGGACGCUUGGCGGGGCCGGGGCAGGGCAGGGGGCUGCUGGCGCAGCCCCCCUGGGCGUCACAGCAGCAGGAGGGGCUCCCACAGGCGGCGGGUGGCCGCGCAUCUGGCUCCGGCACGCUGCUGCCUGCACAGCGGCUGCAGCACUUCAUGGCAGGCUGGCGAUGGGGGGGUCCUCCUGCGGGGCGGGGGGAAAGCAGGUGGAGAGGGGUCGGCCUCGCUGCGCCGGCCUCAGGCACGGCUGGGAUGCGGCACCCGCAGCCACCGCACCGUGCCAGGCACUGCCCACCUUGUGCAGCACAAGGGGACUGCGGGGCAGCGGGUGUAGCUCCUCCCAGCCAUAACCAUAACCACAAGCACAACCAUAACCACAAAUAUAACCACAGCCACAACCACACACAUAACCGUAACCGUAACCACAGCCAUAACAACAACUGUAGCCAAAGCCAUAACCACAGCCACAACCACAACCAUAACCACAGCCAUAGCCACAACCAUAACCAUAAAACCAUAACAACAACCACAACCAUAGCUACAGCCACAGCCACAAACAUAACCACAACCACAACCGCAACCGCAACCGUAACCGUAACCGUAACCAUAACCAUAACCAUAACUGUAUCCACAACCACAACCACAGCCACAGCCACAACCACAAAACCACAACCAUGA
rnacentral:lncRNA from 1 species